CCCUUUUUUCCAGUCCUGAGAUCUCGUCGAGUUAGAAUUGUGAGUGUGCGAAAUAGUGAGCCUCAGUGCGGCCUAGUUAGAGAUCAGUUCGAAGGCUUCGCUUCCUUUCGCCCUACCAGCAAAGCAGCACA